GAAGCGGCAACAGCUCAAAUUUGAAAUCUGGCGCAAGCCCGAGUUGUAAUUUGUAGAGGAUGCUUCUGGGCAGCGGCCGGGCUAAGUUCCUUGGAACAGGACGUCAUAGAGGGUGAGAAUCCCGUAUGCGCCCGGCUGGCACCCGUCACGUAGCUCCUUCGACGAGUCGAGUUGUUUGGGAAUGCAGCUCUAAAUGGGAGGUAAAUUUCUUCUAAGGCUAAAUAUCGGCCAGAGACCGAUAGCGCACAAGUAGAGUGAUCGAAAGAUGAAAAGCACUUUGGAAAGAGAGUUAAAAAGCACGUGAAAUUGUUGAAAGGGAAGCGCAUGCAACCAGACUUGUCGGCGGUGUUCCGCCGGUCUUCUGACCGGUCUACUCGCCGCCGGCAGGCCAGCAUCAUCUGGGCGCGCCGGAUAAAGGCGUGCGGAAUGUAGCCCCUCGGGGUGUUAUAGCCGCGCGCACAAUACGGCGCCGCCCGGGUGAGGUCCGCGCUUCGGCUAGGAUGCUGGCGUAAUGGUCGCUUGCGGCCCGUCUUGAAACACGGACCAAGGAGUCUAACAUCUAUGCGAGUGUUCGGGUGUCAAACCCCUACGCGGAAUGAAAGUGAACGGAGGUAGGAACCCGCAAGGGUGCACUAUCGACCGAUCCUGAUGUCUUCGGAUGGAUUUGAGUAAGAGCAUAGCUGUUGGGACCCGAAAGAUGGUGAACUAUGCCUGAAUAGGGUGAAGCCAGAGGAAACUCUGGUGGA
rnacentral:rRNA from 1 species